rnacentral:lncRNA from 1 species
AUAAUAUGAUAUCCAAUACAUCCUCCUUAACCUCUAGUACCACAAGGCAUUUCAUGAAUCCAUGAGAAUCUACUGCACAUCAUCGUGAACUAGAGUUCCCUCCUCUUAACCUCUCUAUAUAUAAGUGAGUCGAGGUAGAAGCGCCUAAGCGAAGUCGUCGAUCAUAGCGAUGACACUAAACAUUGCAAGUACACUACAGUCACAUAACAUAGGUGGCGUUAUUUUGAAAGAUUUCAUUUCAUAUGUAUUUGAGUUUUGUCCAAAUUAGUUAAUUGAGUUCUCCGAGAGGCUAGUGAGUUAACU